rnacentral:sRNA from 1 species
AGGAGUUCUCUUCAUCAGUUCAUCGUUUGGAGGUUCAGUUGCCAAUGCCAGUGCUCCUAGUGUGUCCAUGAUCAUGUUAACCCAGAGCAGUUGGACAGCAGUAAGAGGAGCACUCCCUGAAUGCCAAGCAGAAGUACAAAGAACAGUCAAGAGUAAGUUAUGAAACAAACUAGGAAAUUCUUGAUUUUCCACAUUAAUAAAUUUUAUAAUGAGGUAAAAAACAUCAACAUUUAGCUGUACCUGUCAAGCAAGCUGAGGAGAAGUUCACUAUCAGAGCGACCACAUUGACUGUCAGCUGAAACUGCACAAACUUCUGAAUAUUAAUGUACACUGACCGACCCCAUUUAGCAACAGUGACUAUAGUGGAGAAGUUGUCGUCAAGAAUAAUCACGUC